GAUCGCUUUGUCCCUGUGAGCAUGAGAACAGUGAAGUUUUUCAAAACGUGUGCUUUAGAUGUCUAACGUGACGGUUUUAAUAAUAACAAGACGCCUACUCAGGCGUUCACUCCGGGUACAGGGCCUUAACUAAGCGCAAACUACUUUAACGGAGGGCCCUGAAGGGGUAAAAUGGGAACUGGGAUUGAUCUAUUUUUAGACUGGGAAAAUGGGAUUUGGGUUGCUGGGACUGGGAUUUGGCCACUGGGAAAUGAAGUCCUCAAAAAUGGGAAUGGGAUUGAGGUAAUGCGAGUCGAUUCCCAAUUUUUCUACGUUUUAAGUAUUUUAAAAUACACUUUUGAACCGUUUUUGGUGUCUUUGGUCAUGAUUUUUGUUGUUAACUAUAUUAUUCACAGCACUACCUGCGAACAGGCAUACUCUGGCGCCCGGAAUUGCAAAUGCCAUUUCCGGGAUUCAAAUUUAAAAACUUUCCGUGCCUUCGGAACGAGUCCCCCCCCCCCCCAAUGUUUCAUAAAAUGUCCACCACUUGCACACACGGUGGCUUAAAAGGUCUUAAAACUGUUUAUUCUACCGAUAAAUAAAGGGUUUUUUAUUGACUUGGAUUUCAUUAACCCGGACUGGGAUUUCUAAUAAAAAUCCAACUGGGACUGGGAUUUUGCCAAAAUUUCAGGUGGGAAAUGGGAUUGGGACCCCCCCCUUCAGGACCCUCUUAACGUAUACUUAUAUACGGCAAUGAAGGUAUCUUUAAUGCAUGAUAUUUAGCAUAUUAAAGUUGGAAAAGUGGGAGAACUACAGUGUAACCACUUCACCAGGUGACUAAAAACAUAUGCAACGAUCAUAAUAUUUUACAACAUAAAAAUAUCUCUUUUAUCUCUAAUAAAAGCUAUCUAGUUCUUUUUUAAAAGUUCUAUUUAAAACAUGCGUAGGAGUGUUUUAUCGAGUCGUAUAUAAUAAGUCGGAGGCCGUAUUUUACAAAUAUUUUAUGUGUUUUUUUUAUUGUCGAGGGUAGAAAUUCGAGGGUGAAAAGCUUGAGGGUAUACAUUUUAAUAAUUUAACAAAAUAAUAAUUUUAGCUCGUGUUCAUUUAGUUUACUUUUAAUUUUUAGCUCUUAUUUUUAUAUGCAAUUAUUAUUUUUUUAUAUGCGAUUACUUUUUAUAUGAUAAAAUAUUACUACAUGAAAACAGACAUGCCGAUCAAAAGCUACAGUCGAGAUAGUUUCAAACGGCGUGGUGCAUUAUCUGCGUUAUCUCGGAUUGCAUGUCGCA